rfam:Camelus ferus unplaced genomic scaffold scaffold769, whole genome shotgun sequence.
GAGGGUAUAGCUCAGUAGCAGAGUACGUGCCUAGCAUGCACAAGGUCCUGGGUUCAAUCCCCAGUACCUCCA